rnacentral:rRNA from 1 species
GAUGAACGCUGGCGGCGUGCUUAACACAUGCAAGUCGAACGGAAAGGCCCAAGCUUGCUUGGGUACUCGAGUGGCGAACGGGUGAGUAACACGUGGGUGAUCUGCCCUGCACUUCGGGAUAAGCCUGGGAAACUGGGUCUAAUACCGGAUAGGACGAUGGUUUGGAUGCCAUUGUGGAAAGUUUUUUCGGUGUGGGAUGAGCUCGCGGCCUAUCAGCUUGUUGGUGGGGUAAUGGCCUACCAAGGCGUCGACGGGUAGCCGGCCUGAGAGAGUGUACAGCCACAUUGGGACUGAGAGACGGCCCAGAGUCCGACGGGAGGCAGCAGUGGGGAAAAUUGCACAAUGGGCGCAAGCCUGAUGCAGCGACGCCGCGUGGGGGAUGACGGCCUUCGGGUGGUAAACUCCUUUCGCUAGGGACGAAGCGUUUUUGUGACGGUACCUGGAGAAGAAGCACCGGCUAACUACGUG